CAUUCCUAGGCUGCCCGCCUCACUGGAAGAACUUCACAGACAAAUGCUACUAUUUUUCAGUUGAGAAAGAAAUUUUUGAGGAUGCAAAGCUUUUCUGUGAAGACAAGUCUUCACAUCUUGUUUUCAUAAACACUAGAGAGGAACAGCAAUGGAUAAAAAAACAGAUGGUAGGGAGAGAGAGCCACUGGAUCGGCCUCACAGACUCAGAACGUGAAAAUGAAUGGAAGUGGCUGGAUGGGACAUCUCCAGACUACAAAAAUUGGAAAGCUGGACAGCCGGAUAACUGGGGUCAUGGCCAUGGGCCAGGAGAAGACUGUGCUGGGUUGAUUUAUGCUGGGCAGUGGAACGAUUUCCAAUGUGAAGACGUCAACAACUUCAUUUGCGAAAAAGACAGGGAGACAGGUGAGCAGUAGAUGGGAUUUAAGAGGGAG
rnacentral:lncRNA from 1 species